rnacentral:rRNA from 1 species
UACAGAGGGUGCGAGCGUUGUUCGGAAUUAUUGGGCGUAAAGGGCGCGUAGGCGGUGCGGUAAGUCACCUGUGAAAUCUCCUGGCUCAACUGGGAGCUUGCAGGCGAAACUGCCGUGCUGGAGUGUGGGAGAGGUGCGUGGAAUUCCUGGUGCAGCGGUGAAAUGCGUAGAUAUCGUAAGGAAGACCAGUGGCGAAGGCGGGUCUCUGGACAGUUCCUGACGCUGAGGCACGAAGGCCAGGGGAGCAAACGGG